AUGUUGGAGUCCUUUUUUUUUUCCCCUCUUGUUAUUUCCUUUCCUUGUUGUAGGUGAGGAACAGAAACAAUCUUUGAUGAUGUUUUAUGCCUCGUUUCAAUCUCAAGGGAGUGUAGCAGAUCCAUCUCUACUUGGUAAAGGAGGGGAAGCUAAAGAUGGCCCAAGUGGAACUUGUGAGGCUGAUUCCUCUUGGUCCUCCUUUUCUUUCUUUCUCACCCUCCCUUGGGCAGUGAGGGACCUAUUUCAGUCUAUUGUAGGCCCCUAUACAACUAUUCUCGGUACAAAUGAACAAUAAAAAUUUUGCUGGCAGUAAAUGGUGGUCAACGGUUGCCUGCAUGAUCUUUGAAAUUGUGAUACGGUGAGAACUUUUUACCAGGUAAUGGAAUUACCACAACCCAAGUCGGUGUGAUGGAUGGAUACAUCUAUGGAAUUCUGGAGAUGUAUUCCGUCUGUGUUGGGGCUGUCGCCAGGGGAAGAGAUGGUCAUGUUGAAGACUUGAACUGCUUCACAGUAAUCAAAUUUAAGGUGGCACUGUGGGCUAUUCUGUAUCGUUAUGCCCGUGACUGUUACAUUGUAACUUCCAUAAAACCUCAGAGCCUGCAACAAAAUGGAAAAAGUGCACAACGCAGUGUUAUUCAUUCUCACAGGAAACAUUGUUUAUUGUUCUGGAAAAAAGAAAGAAGCUGCCCAGAAAAGAAUUCUUACUGUUGGUUUGAUCUGUGGCAUUUUUGCACUGAGCCUAGCAUUAAUCUGUAACAAAUAAAUGCAGUUAAAUAUUUUCAGGUCAGUAUUCAAAGUAUGAUUCUUUACGUCCCAGUCAUUAAUCUGAGAAAUGAGUCUAGAACAUCAAGUGGAAAUUGGAACUGGGGAAGCCCAUAUGUCUGAUACAAUUUACACAGUAUUCUGCCGGCAGAUUUGGAUGCUUAAAGUGAAAGAUGGAGUUCGAUAAUUGUUUUUCUGUUUUCUUUUUAUUUUUUUUAAAGGUUAAUUAAAUUAGUGGCUGUUACAAAUGGCCAUUCUAAUGAUUUUGGAGGGAGGCUCUUUGGUUAUAAAUAUCAAUAACGGGUAUGAAGAUAUCGGCUGCUAUUUGACAAUUGUUCCAUUAUAACAGCCAUUAUGUAAUGAGAAAAUAAUGGCCGUUAUUCACCAUUUGCUUCCUUUUCACUUAUUAAAAAUAUAUUUACAAUCAAAUUUGUGUGACGGCUGGAAAAAUUAUUUUUUUAUUCAGUUAAGAGUCGAUUAUUUUUAACUCA